AAUUAGCCCCGAUGGUAAUGGAAAUCCUUUAUUUUUCUGGUUUUUUCAGAAAAUAAAGAUUGCAAGGUACAGCGGGACGAGUA
rnacentral:sRNA from 1 species